rnacentral:rRNA from 1 species
CUUGUACACACCGCCCGUCACACCAUGGGAGUUGGUUUUACCUGAAGACGGUGCGCUAACCCGCAAGGGAGGCAGCCGGCCACGGUAGGGUCAGCGACUGGGGUGAAGUCGUAACAGGGUAGCCGUAGGGGAACCUGCGGCUGGAUCACCUCCUUU